AAAACUUUGUUUAACUUGAAUCUUGAUUCUCAAUAAUUGUUCUUUUAAAUGGCUUGUACUUCUUUUUUAAAAGAACGUUUUUAAACAUUUACUGACCGAAGAAAUUAAAACUUUUUAAAUUAUGGCGACAUAAUGUAAUUAUUUUAAAGUACUUUUAAAUUGUAAUGAGACACUGAAGAUGACUCAAUAGUGGGAUUAAAACGUUUAUAACAUUUUACAUUAAUUGUUUAUAAAUGUAUACAUUAGCAUAUACACGCAUAAUUAUCUAACUCAUAUCGUUCCUAGUUUAUUCAUUUUCAAAAUUGAAGUAUUCAUUUUUAUAUAUUAGGAAGUGACUCAGAAUUUACUCCGGAAAAGUAUAUCAUAAUGAAUAAUUCUGAUCUGAUAUUGUUAAUAAUACGAAAGCGAUGGCAAAAGUGGAAGAAGAUAAAGCAAACACUUCAACAACAAAGAGUUAGACGACGUUACAUAUUGCGAUUGUUUGUAAUAUGGAAACUAAUGAUAUCUCAAGAGAAAGAAGCUCGUCAUAGAAUAUGGGUACGCCCAAUAUUCUCAGAAAGACAAAGAUUGUUACAAGGUGACAGUGACAAUCUGGUUAAUGAAAUGGAAAUUAUAGAUCAUGAAAUGUUCUACAAUUAUUGUAGAAUGUCUACAGAGAUGUUCGAUCAAUUAUUAGAUAUUGUUGAGCCACGCAUUGCAAAACAGAAUGUCAUUCGAGAGCCAAUACCAGCCCGUACCCGGCUUUUAAUAUGUCUGCGUUAUUUAGCCUCUGGAGACAGUAUGAGUUCAAUAGCUUUUUCUUUUCGAAUUGGAAUAAACACUGUCUCAAAGAUUAUUUCAGAGACAUGUGAGGAAUUGUGGAACAUUCUUCACGAAUCAGUUUUUCCUGAAAUAAACGAAAAGACUUGGUUAAAAAUUGCGAAUGAUUUUGCAAUAAAGUGGGAUUUUCCGCAUUGCGUAGGGGAUAGACGGGAUGCGAUAGAUGGAAAACAAGUACAAAUUCAGUCACCUCCUCAUAGUGGUUCAACUUUUUAUAACUACAAGGGCAAUCAUAGUAUUAAUUUAUUAGCAGUUUGUGAUGCCAAUUAUUGUUUCACAUUAGUUGACAUUGGUGCGGAAGGCAGACAGAGCGACAGUGGAAUUUUUGCACAUUCAAAUUUUGGUCAACGAUUCGAAAGAAACCAAAUGAAUUUACCACAACCAAGAUCAAUCGAAGCUUCUGGGGCUGAAUUACCGUUUGUGUUAGUAGCGGAUGAGGCAUUCGCUUUGAGGCUGACUCAUUACAUGAUGCAACCAUAUCCACGAAGCGGACGUUUAAAUCGUCAAAGAAAGGUAUUCAACUAUCGUCUCAGUCGAGCGCGAAGAAUGAUAGAAAGUGCAUUUGGCAUUUUGGUAGCGAAAUAACGAAUUUAUCGUCGACCGAUAAUCGCAACUGUUUCCAUCACAGUUAAAAUUAUUCAAGCAACCGUAUGCUUGCACAAUUUCAUAAUUCAAAAUGAACACAAAUUUCCAUUCUCCAAAAGGCGCUAUACAUGUAUAGCUGAAAAAGAAGCCGUAAUAAACAAUGCAUUGCAAGAAAUAGAUAAUGCUGGUAGAAUAAAUGUUAACGCUUGAUUUGUUUCUAAAAUCCAGAAUGACUUCGCUUCAUACUUCGAAAAUACUGGAGCAGUACCUUGGCAGUGGGAAAAGGUUUUACUUAAUGAUUUUUAAUUGAAAAAAAUUCAGAUUUCAGGAGUUACAAAAAAAAUGCCAUGAUUGCCACAGGAUACCACGAUUGCACAACAGAAAAAUAAAGAAUAAUACACAUAUGUUCCUGGCGUUUCUAAGAAAGGGAGA